rnacentral:misc_RNA from 1 species
CCGAACGGUCGGCAGGCGAUCCGCGUCGGUCAAGCGAGGUGGUAUGGUUCCCCAGAGGCCGGUUCUUGUGCUGCCUACCCCUUCAGGGGAAGCGGGCCACUUGAUGUAAGCCUCCAUCCGGCGCCCUCCAACGGGCGCAGGAGGACAACGGAGCACCCCCCGCGUUCCACCGAGCCUCAGCCGGUCGCGUGGCGCGCGGGGACGUGCGAUGCUCUCGGACCCAGCGAACGCCGUGGGCGAGGACUCACGUCCCAGUCCCUAUAGAAGCUCCGAUAUAAUGCUGACGUCCGCUCCCGACCCCCGACCGCCCCGGCGGCGCGGGGGCGAGGCGCGGCGUCGCGGAGGAAUGCUACCU